rnacentral:rRNA from 1 species
UGCCAGCCGCCGCGGUAAUACGGAGGGUGCAAGCGUUAAUCGGAAUUACUGGGCGUAAAGCGUACGUAGGCGGAUUUUUAAGUCAGAUGUGAAAGCCCCGGGCUCAACCUGGGAAUGUCAUCUGAUACUGGAAGUCUGGAGUGCAGUAGAGGGUAGUGGAAUUUCCGGUGUAGCGGUGAAAUGCGUAGAUAUCGGAAGGAACAUCAGUUGCGAAGGCGGCUACCUGGACUGACACUGACGCUGAGGUACGAAAGCGUGGGAAGCAAACAGGAUUAGAUA